AUUGAACGCUGGCGGCAGGCUUAGCACAUGCAAGUCGAGCGGGGGAAGGUAGCUUGCUACCGGACCUAGCGGCGGACGGGUGAGUAAUGCUUAGGAAUCUGCCUAUUAGUGGGGGACAACAUCUCGAAAGGGAUGCUAAUACCGCAUACGUCUUACGGGAGAAAGCAGGGGAUCACUUGUGACCUUGCGCUAAUAGAUGAGCCUAAGUCGGAUUAGCUAGUUGGUGGGGUAAAGGCCUACCAAGGCGACGAUCUGUAGCGGGUCUGAGAGGAUGAUCCGCCACACUGGGACUGAGACACGGCCCAGACUCCUACGGGAGGCAGCAGUGGGGAAUAUUGGACAAUGGGGGGAACCCUGAUCCAGCCAUGCCGCGUGUGUGAAGAAGGCCUUAUGGUUGUAAAGCACUUUAAGCGAGGAGGAGGCUCUUUUGGUUAAUACCCAAGAUGAGUGGACGUUACUCGCAGAAUAAGCACCGGCUAACUCAGUGCCAGCAGCCGCGGUAA
rnacentral:rRNA from 1 species